UACGGAGGGUGCAAGCGUUAAUCGGAAUUACUGGGCGUAAAGCGUGCGCAGGCGGUUUGUUAAGUCUGUUGUGAAAUCCCCGAGCUCAACUUGGGAAUUGCAAUGGAUACUGGCAGGCUGGAGUAUGGUAGAGGAAGGUGGAAUUCCCGGUGUAGCAGUGAAAUGCGUAGAGAUGUGGAGGAAUACCGAUGGCGAAGGCAGCCUCCUGGGCCAACACUGACGCUCAUGCACGAAAGCGUGGGGAGCAAACAGG
rnacentral:rRNA from 1 species